rnacentral:rRNA from 1 species
UACGAAGGGUGCAAGCGUUAAUCGGAAUUACUGGGCGUAAAGGGCGCGUAGGCGGUGCCUCAAGUCAGGCGUGAAAUCCCCGGGCUCAACCUGGGAAUGGCGAUGGAUACUGGACAGCUAGAGUGUGUCAGAGGAUGGUGGAAUUCCCGGUGUAGCGGUGAAAUGCGUAGAGAUCGGGAGGAACAUCAGUGGCGAAGGCGGCCAUCUGGGACAACACUGACGCUGAAGCACGAAAGCGUGGGGAGCAAACAGG